CUUGCAUCAUCUGUAAAGCAAAAGCAAUAGUGUUCAUUUCCUGGGCAUGAUGAGGUUUAAAAGGGAGGUUUUAAGUUAAUGCUCCUAAUGUGGGGCCCAGCACGAGAUACAGAAUGUCACAGUGGACAGAACCUCCAAGGAUUAUCCGGGCUCCUGUCCUCCUCUUACAGAGGAGGAAACUGUUCCAGAAAGGUUCACAACUUUCCAAAGGUCACAAAAUUUGUGGUAUAGCAAAAACCGAAACCUAGAUGGUGUGGCCACCCCCCUCUCCCCAAAGCAGUCGAGUUUCUAAUUCUACAUCAUCCAAUCUGCUUGCUUUUCCCCCCUUCCUGGCCCUCCACUGUGCCUAAGUCAUCAAGUUUCAGGUGUGCAACAUAUUGAUUCAACAGUUCUGUACAUCAGUGCUGGCAAGACCCUCUCUGUGUGCUGUACCACAAAAGAAAGUUCUCUGAAUCACUGCCAUUAUUUUGUGAAGGGCUGAUGUUCUUAACUUGGUGAGCAGUUCUCCCAGAGCUCUUGAAAUCUGAAGUGAGCAAUCUUAGACUGGCAAAUUUUUUUUUAACUGCCUUUCAUAUUACACUGAGACUGCUCUCAACUAACAUUUCCUUUUUGUCUCCUUCCACAUUCACAUUGGUGAUGCCCGCACACACCGCUGAGCACCUGUCAUCUCAGACCACCCAAAUGAAGCUGAAGGAGCCACUAGCCAUGGCCCAACCAAGAAGGGAUUUUCGACUGCUCUCCUGGUCCUCUAACCAACUCUCCAGAGUGCCACCAAACAGAUCUGGUGACUGCAUUCCCCAAACUGAAAGCCUUGGAUAACUACAAUAUACUCUUCAAACUAUCACUGAAGAGAAAGGAGCAAUGCGAGCAACACGUCAGUGAAUCACAUGUGACCCCUACCACCCCUACCCUUUUGUUGAGAAUGUACAAUUGAGAAGAGAUCUGAGGAACAUAGAUGUGAAGAAUACGUAAAAGGCCAAGAACCAAUGUUUCAUUCACAGAUUUUUUCCCCCUGGGUUUUUUGGCUCAUCUAUAUUUUGGGUCAGUUUUGUGUUUUGUUUUGUUUUUUUUUAAAAUAAAAAACAAAACUCAAUUUGACUUUUAAUCAUUAAGAAUAAU